UACAGAGGUCUCAAGCGUUGUUCGGAUUCAUUGGGCGUAAAGGGUGUGUAGGUGGCGCCGUAAGUCGGUGUGAAAUUUCGGAGCUUAACUCCGAAACUGCAUUCGAUACUGCGGUGCUUGAGGACUGGAGAGGAGACUGGAAUUCAUGGUGUAGCAGUGAAAUGCGUAGAGAUCAUGAGGAAGACCAGUGGCGAAGGCGGGUCUCUGGACAGUUCCUGACACUGAGACACGAAGGCCAGGGGAGCAAACGGG
rnacentral:rRNA from 1 species